GACAGAGGGUGCGAACGUUGUUCGGAAUUACUGGGCGUAAAGCGCGUGUAGGCGGCAGCGUAAGUCGGGCGUGAAAUCCCACGGCUCAACCGUGGAAGUGCACUCGAAACUGCGCAGCUAGAGUCCUGGAGAGGAAGGUGGAAUGCUUGGUGUAGAGGUGAAAUUCGUAGAUAUCAAGCGGAACACCGGUGGCGAAGGCGGCGUUCUGGACUGCAACUGACACUGUAAAACGAAAGCCAGGGGAGCAAACGGG
rnacentral:rRNA from 1 species